rnacentral:rRNA from 1 species
UACGGAGGGGGCUAGCGUUAUUCGGAAUUAUUGGGCGUAAAGGGCGUGUAGGCGGCUUCGUAAGUCUUGUGUGAAAGCCCUCGGCUCAACCGAGGAAUUGCACGAGAAACUGCGUGGCUCGAGUCCGGGAGAGGAUAGUGGAAUUCCUGGUGUAACGGUGAAAUGCGCAGAUAUCAGGAAGAACACCAAUGGCGAAAGCAGCUCUCUGGGACGGUACUGACGCUGAGACGCGAAAGCGUGGGGAGCGAACAGG